rnacentral:rRNA from 1 species
UACGUAGGCAGCAAGCGUUGUUCGGAAUUACUGGGCGUAAAGAGUGUGUAGGCGGUGCUCCAAGUCUGGUGUGAAAUCUCCCGGCUCAACUGGGAGGGUGCGCUAGAAACUGGAAUGCUAGAGGAUGGGAGAGGUAAGCGGAAUUCCUGGUGUAGCGGUGAAAUGCGUAGAUAUCAGGAGGAACACCUGUGGCGAAAGCGGCUCACUGGACCACAACUGACGCUGAGGCGCGAAAGCUAGGGGAGCAAACAGG